UGCAGCGUGAAUCACUUUCAAUGUAUUGGUCACGCGUGUUCCACCGCACCCGUACCCCGCACUUGCAACUCUGUACCGUGCUUGCAGAUCCAUGACAUGGAUAUCAACUAGUCUCACCGCGUUCAAUGUUUCAUAUUGACCUUAGAAAUACUAGUCUAGACCUUUUGCUGCACUUUCAACCACCUCUUUACACCCAUUGCCCAUACUGCUAUUCAGCUCCUUCUGCAUAGAAUCAAAUGGCAUUCCUUGUGCAAUGACUGUAGCCCACACAUCUACUUUGACCUUUCUUCUUCUCUCUGCUGAGCUUUGCCGUGACCAUUGCUGUUGCAGCACGUAUGCUGUCUGCCUAUAAACGCUGCUGUUCACAAUUCUCUACAGUUCAGUUAGAAACUACAGUUAGAAAGGCCAGUUAGAAAUGCCAGUUAGAGAUACCAGUUAGAACCUUCAGUAAUGUCAGUUUAGAGUUAGAGUCAGAGUUAAUGUUUACAAUGUAGUCUUCCGUUUAGUUCAGUAAUAAUUUUAAAGCAGUGUGUUCACUGAGACCCGUCUGCAUUUGCCUCCGAGAGAGACUGCGGCCCGUUACAGAAUUGGUGGCAGCGGUGGUUCAAUUUUAUAAUUGCUAGAUUCGAACCCACCUAGUAUCUGUAUUGCAUUGAUGGCAGCGACGCUACAGAAUUGAUGGCAGUGGUAAAUUGUUUUAUUGGUGUAACCGGUACCAGCAUGGCCCAACCUGAUGCGUCAGUCGCCGCUACUCCUUCGCCCGCCAUGUCUCCCCCCAGCCCGAAAUGAUGACGGACAGCGUCUCUACCGAUCAAGCUCCAUGUCCAAUUCCUGUGAUCUGCUGCUGCGCUCCAGCCAGUACUUCAAUGUCAGUUGUCCUCAUUGCGUCCGGAUAUCAACCGAGGCUGUUCACAAAUACAUACCUGUAUAUGCAAGUAAUCCAUUCUGCCUAUCUUCUUCCGUCAAGGUUAUUCCGGCGCGACCAUGCAUAUGCCGCCAAAGUCUUCUAAUCUCAGUCGAUUGUCGGAGUCCGGCUAUCAACUAAUCUUACUCGCCCAGUCUAGUCUGCGCAUCUCCAUGAUCUUCUAUCAGUGUUCGUCACUUCGUGUUCUGCUACUCGGACUCUAAUCACGAGGACGUGAUUGUGUUUAAAGAAGGAAGGUGUAGCGUUGGCUCGCUAGUAACUCACACAGGUGCAGCGUGAAUCACUUUCAAUGUAUUGGUCACGCGUGUUACACCGCACCCGUACCCCGCACUUGCAACUCUGUACCGUGCUUGCAGAUCCAUGACAUGGAUAUCAACUAGUCUCACCGCGUUCAAUGUUUCAUAUUGACCUUAGAAAUACUAGUCUAGACCUUUUGCUGCACUUUCAACCACCUCUUUACACCCAUUGCCCAUACUGCUAUUCAGCUCCUUCUGCAUAGAAUCAAAUGGCAUUCCUUGUGCAAUGACUGUAGCCCACACAUCUACUUUGACCUUUCUUCUUCUCUCUGCUGAGCUUUGCCGUGACCAUUGCUGUUGCAGCACGUAUGCUGUCUGCCUAUAAAAGCUGCUGUUCACAAUUCUCUA